CCAGAAGAGGCGCGUCGCCCAGGAAGUGUAUCGGAGGAGCCGAAUCCUACGAAGGUACAUCAGGGGGAGCGACGCCGAGGUCUGAAGCCCGCGGCAGGCAUAUGAUCGACUACAGGGGCUGAAUCCCCUGGGUUGUCACCGGGCAUCCGAGAGGAUGUUGACAAGGUGGGGCGCUUCUGGGU
rnacentral:ncRNA from 1 species